UCAGUCAGAGAGAAAGCACAGGAGAGCCUGGCGCCCACGCACAUUUACACAUACGCGCCGUCGCCUGUGCGCCCUUCAAUCGUGCUGUCACCUCUGCCACGCGCACCACACGAGCAGCAUUGCCGCUUCUCUUCCUCUCUCUCUGUCCCUCGCACAUUUCUCGGUGUGGCGGCUUCCACUGGCAGUGCCGCCGCUGCCUCGCCCUCUUCACGCACGCGCACGCGACCCCCCCCCCUCCCGCCCCGUCCACCCGCCUCUUGGCUCAUUUUCUCACGAGUUGGUGGUGUAUCGCAUUAUGUCCGCCUUCUCCCGCUUCGCCGCUGCCCUUGCACCUCCUUCUCUCGUCUGGGCCUCAGCUCAUCGAUAGACGCGUCACCUCUCUCUCCCCCUUUCCUCCCUCUGCACGCCGCACACAGCGUGCACACACACACACACGCACAUCUGAGCAUCCGCGUGUAGCCAUGGUCGUCCUCUCCGUGUCUCCCUCAGCGUCGGCGCCGGCGCUCCCCUCACAAAUUCCAACCCGUGCCACCGCUGCCCCCAAUGCUUUCAUCACCAGCGUCGGCCUGCACCCAAUCGAGCCCAUUCAAGUGGUCGGCCUCAGCUCCGGCGAGGUCUGCUUCUACACCGCCAAAACAGAUGCCCUCUCGUGGUUCGUGGAAAUGGAUGCGGCGCGGCAGGCCCAGCUCCGGCUGGAUACCGCCACUGAUGCCGCAAUGCGGAGCAACAGCGGCAGCAGGGCGAAUGGCGGCGGUGCUGGGACCCCACCGGUGACGCUCGCCCCGCCUGAGUAUCCCGUCAAGGUGAUGUCUUUCAACACCGCGAGUGCCGGCUGCUCCAUCGUACACUGCGGCUUCCUGCGCGGGCGUGAGGAGGAUCUCCUGCGCGAGGUGGUGCAACGACUGCAGCCGUAUUCGUCACCGUCGGCUGCGCGUCAUCUUCUCUACGUCAUCACGAGCGCCAACGACGUCUAUGUGGUGGAUGUCAAAACAGAAGUUGUUUUCCUGCACUGGGCUGGUGGCGGCUCCACCAGCGGCAGCAGCAGCUCGCCUUCCAAGGCCCCCGCCUCACCUCUGAGCCCGCAGUUCAUCGUCACGCAGGCGGAGACGUACGGGGCGCUGAUGUACCUGACAGUGGCACGUCGCAGUGCCGUGAAGGCCGCCACCGAGCAGGCGGCGAGCCGCGGUCGCCACCUCUUCAGUGGUGGUGGUGGACCGGAGAGGAGCAUGUACCAACGUUGCAACGAGCCGGCUGUCUACGUGCUCCAUCUCGGUUGCACAAAGCCGCUGGCAGCAUCUACUACCAAGGCACUCAUCGCCGGCGGUGGCGCAUACGUGAUCCAGGCGGUCUCAAAAGGCAAGCCGCAUCCGACGAGCAAGCAUCGCGGCAGCAACACCGCAUCGGCGACUGCUUCUGCAGGGGCGCUGAGCAUCCGCGCCCAUCCGUUGGCGCCUCUGCUGCUACUGCUGCUGAACCAGUCGGAAGUGCAGGUGUAUGCCGUCGACGGCGACGGUGGGGUGGCGACCCCGAAGAAGGCGCAGCUGAUCUUCCUCUCCGCUGCCAGCGUACCCCGCGACCGCUUUCGCAGCUGCAGUAGCAGCUCCUCGGCGCAGGCAGCAGCGUCCCGGCGGCAGCAGCCAGUGAUCGAUGCCCAAUUCGUUCCCUCCGCCGCUGUCCUGGUGCCGUGCCACGGCGCAGGUCACUCGUCCUCCUCAUGCAAGUGGAUAUGCCAUAAUGUGCAGAUUCUCCUCGUGACCCCGACGCGACUGCAACUCCUGUGUACGCGGGCCGUCGCCGCAACGGCAGGCGUGAGCAGCGCGGACCGUGGUGACGUCAUAGCCGCGGAUCGUGCCUUCUACACGGCGCCGUCCAUGUCCGCAGCGACGUCCUCGUCCGCAUUACCAGUGCCGCACGUCACAUUCCUACGUGCGUGGACAUGGCUGGGGUCUCCUGACACCCUCUUCGCUCUACAGAGCGACCGGGUGCUCGUGGAGCUGUCGUGCAACGACCUUAUCUCGGCCAGCAUGGAUGUGCCAUCAGUGCGCAGUCGCCGCCUCCUGCCGCCACGCACGGUGACGCGUCUGACCGGCUGCGGUGCUGGAGUGGAUGUGGGCAGCGCAGCAGGCGCGGAGAACUGUUGGCUCACCCCAUCGUCACCGGCUAAGGACCGCUCAGGUGGCUCUGCCACAGCCGCUGAUGGUGGUGGUGCUGCGGGGUUGUCAUGCGUGCAGUGGCCUGACGUGCUGCCGCUGUGGGGACGCAGUGCCAUACUAAGCGGCGUCUUUGCCCCUCCCUUGCCGCCCAACCACGGUGAGGACCCGCACACCCUAAUCUUCUCCCGUCUCACAGGGCUUGCUCGGCCUCUGCCCAUUGGAGGCAGCGCUGCUGCGGGCGGAAAAGAUGCGGACGCUGAGGACGACACCAGCGCAGGCAGUGACGUCCUCCAUCUCUCACUGUUGGCAGACACCGAAACCAUCAGCAGUCGCUGCAUCUGCGUGCGUCUGUGCCUAACCCCGCAGCCCUCCCUCACGUCUCCAUCCACCGCUGCCCGGCCGGGUCUGCCGCUCCAUCAUGAGCAGGAGAGCGUGAACGUGAACGUUGCUCGACUGCUGUGCGACUCCGCCAUGCCGGCGCUGUGUCGGCUCGAGCACGGCUUCUACUUUGUCGGCAGCCGGGCCGAGAGCGCCUACGCAGACUACCCCUUCCUCAUCGCCGGCCUUCUCUACAUCGAUGGCGUCGUCGAGGAUGCGGCGGGUAGCGAAUGCGCCGGUCGCGCGGCGCGCCUACGUGCUGCUAUGAUAUGCCUGCCCGCAGACAAGCAUGCGCUGCGUUCUCUGUACGAGCUAGCGCGCCGAAGCCCAGAUGGUGACGGGCUGGGCAGCCUUGCUGGCGCCGCUGUCGCGCCCACCAGCGAGCUCAAGCACGCCCUCCUGCAAGCGGUGCGGCACACGCAGGUCCAGCCACUGCCCAUACCUCAGUUCGAUUUCGAGGUUUUCCAGUCGUCGUCUGCAACGCCCUCGAAGCAGCUACUGAGCUGCUCCUUCCAGCUAAGCAACGACGGCGUGGUCCCUUGUGUGUGGGGCCUGUGGGCACCGCUUCCGGAGGCGGCUUCAACGUCGACCGCGAAGUCCGCAGCGACAGCACCACCGCCACAGCAGCAGCCGGUGCAGCUCACCAUGCAGGCGUACUACAUCGCCGCGGACACACAGGAGCUGCGCUGGCGGCCGCCAGAGCUGGUGCAUAUGGACGACCUGUUACUCGCAAACCCAUCCCAAGUCUUUGCCCUCAGCAGUGUCUUGGCGAACGCAGUAACUGGUGUGGCGUCGGCGUCCGCAGCAGUAGCAUUAGCGCCGUACAAGUCUGUCGAAGACGUCCUCCUCGACGUCGACCCCGUCGUGGUGGCGCGGCUGUUCCUGUACUACGCUGACCGCAAGGUGUUGGUGCUCGCCACGGUGGAGACAGUGAGCAGCAGCAGCAGCGGCGGCGGCAACACCGAGGCGGGUGGCGUGAUGGACGACACGUACAACUUUGCCAGCAGCCCCAGCAACGAACGAGUCAUGAAAAGGACGCUCCUCACUGGCGGGCACGGCGGCGCUGUCGGAGAGGAUCGCCAGUACCUCUGCCUGGUCCCGCACGCCGCAGCGGAGAUGAACGGAUGGAAGGCAGACAGCACCGCUGAGUCCCUGGGCUGCUCGUUGCUGACGUCCGUGCAGCUGAGCGCGGUGACGGUGAGCGACCAUGAUGAUCCAGCCCUGCAGGUCGCAGUCGUGUCACGCCGCUUCGGCGUGGCGUUGGCGACGUUCCCGCUGCCAGGACGCCGCGGGGUCGCACGCGUAUCAGCGUCGCUGCUGCCGGUGAAAGUGCGGCUGUGCCGCCGCUGGGAUGAGCUGCUGCGCGUGACGGCCGCGGUAAACAUCCAGGCGGAGCAGAGCGAAGGCAGUCGGUGCGACGCCACCUCCAGCGGGGGAAUGGUGCCCAGCUCUGCGCCGGCAUCCCCUCUGCGUGGGCGUGGUAGCACGGCGUGCAGCUUACCACUACUGCGCCGGUAUAGGACUUGGGUGGACACGUUGGCGCAUCCGGCGUCGACCUACGCCUCGGUGCCGCUAGCACUGUGGGUGUGGUCGCCGGCGUGGCCAGGGGAAGACGCGGUGAACUACGAGAACGCUACUUCAGCAGCGGCAGCACCAAGCCCAGUGCUCCUUCUCCAGCGUGGGUGUGCGCUCUACGUGCUGCACGUCAGUGGUGCUGCCGUGCAGAUGUGCGCCUCCCUGCUGCACUGCGCGCCUUUGCAAGUGGUUCCACGAGCAUCGCCGAUAUCGGUGGGCGGCACGGGAGAACUCCACCUCCAGCACGGCAACUAUCUCUGCCUCGUUGCGCGCAACCAACUGCUGCGGCAGCUGCAGCUGCAGUACGCCCGGUACAGCAACCCGUCCACGCUCCAGCAGGCGGCGGCUACAGCAUGCGAGGCUAAGUGGUUCAAGAAGCUUAUGCAGCAGGCAGAGUCUAGCACCGCCGCACGACUGCGACUGAAGGAGCGGCCACAGAUGAUGGAGUGGCUGCGGAGCGUCUACGCCCCAGCCGCGAGCGAGCUCGCCUACGACUCCCUCUCCUCUUCUUCCGGCUCUGCGAAGUCGAUGCAGCUGACCGGCGCCGGUGCCACGCACGUUGCCGACGUGCUCGACGUUGAUGUGACUCACUUGCUCCGCCUGGCGACACUCGCCGUAGAGGCGCUGGCGGCAAGUCAAGGCAUUCAGCAGUUCGUCUUCGAUGGAACGCUGGGCGCCUCGCUGCGGCACAGCUUGCAGCACAUCACGGCCGUCUUGGCGCGUGGCAGCAGCGGAGGCGACAAGGGGCACGCCAACGGUGUAGCCGAGUCCAGGUCUCUGCCGGGCAGCUGGGCUGUGGCGGAGGCACUGGCUCGACUGCCGCUGGCCUGUGCGACCCGGGCGCUGUCCCAGGAAGCCGCGCACGCAGCCACAAACGCCGCGGCGCCGUCUACCGCAUCGCGCAAAGAAGUACCCGACUCGUCAUGGCGGUGUCGCGCGGCGGCGGUACGGCGGUGGUGGUGGCUCGUGAUGCGCUCCAGCUCCCUCGUGCUAGCCGUGAAUGAGGCGCAAGCGGACGAGGCGCAGCGAGAGUUGAGUCGCACCCUCGACGUCAUUCCUCUCAACUCUGUGCUCCUGCGGCCGAUGGCGGUGGCUGCGAACGCCCCACCGCCCCCAAAUUUGCAUGGAGAUGACCAUGGCGAGGCAGAGGCAGGGACGGUGGUGGACGCUGUGGCACAGGCACUCCUACUGUGCCCACCACAGUUUAUGCCGCACAGCGUGACGCAGCUUCUGCGUCAACGCGACGGCGGCAACGUCUCUGCACCACCGCAGCAGCAGCAACAACGACGUCUCCGUGCUGCCCUAGUAGCGGCGCUGGAAACUCUCGGCGCCAACGGCGGCGAGGCCGGUGCUGACGGGACGGCGUCCCUCACCGCGCUCUUCUCGACUGUGUGCAUCGAUAGCGCGCACUGGACGCACGCAGUGUACUACACGAACCUGCUCGGUCAUCUGCGUCAUCUCGCGUUGCAGGAGUCAGCGACGGAGGCGCCUGUUCGCGAAUUCGCGUCGCAGUGCAUCAAGAGCGCCGACGCCGCCAUGGAGGGCUCUGCGGCGGCGGUGCUCGAAGUCGCCACACAAGCCGUCGCGGCUCUGCUUGGUGCCGUGGUCGAUGUUCCGGCGGCGUCGCGCUCGCGUAUGGCGACGGCUGUGGCGCAGAGCAUGAGCAAACGGCAGCAAGCGCUGCAGCGUUGCCUGGGGCCGUCUCGGAAAGCCGCCGGUCGUGGCGCUGGAGCAACGGGCGGGUCGCCGAUGGAAGAGGACGUGUACUUCCUCGAGCACAGCCCAGUCGAUCAGCUGCGGCACCACCUCUACAAGGCCCAGUGGCGAGACGUGUACGGCAACUUUGCCUACCCGACUCGCUACUUCUUCCGCUCUGCCGUGAGAGACAGCGCAGCGAAGCCUGCAAAACCCGCCGCCGUGGAAGCAGCACCGCCGCACUACAGGGCAGCUGAUCUGCCGUAUCAGCUCCUUUACAACUCGCGUAUCGCGGAAGCAGUGCAGCAGACAAGCGCGCCACGGGCAGACCAAAACGCGCCUGGCGCCACGACCAGUGUCAGCGUGUUCAGUGGCCGGCAAGGACGCGUGAAGAAGGUACUCCUGACAGAGCAACCUGUUGCCAGUAGCGGAGCCGCGGCGCCUCCUCCGGCCGUGGAACUGGUGCCCGCGCUGUUCACGCCCAUGUCUCCGCUGCAACACGACACGCAGCUGCACGACAGCAGUGCACAGCAGCAGCAGUCCACCACGCUGUCCCUCUGCGCCGCAGUCGCCAAGGAAGAGGCUGCCCUGCACAAGACUUACUUUGACGCCUUUGCGGCAGCGGACGAGGGAGAAGCCCAGGCAGAGGCUCAGCGGCAGCAGCAGCACCCGUUGUCCUCGAACAGCGCUGGCUAUGACCUGCGCAACGACCCACUUCUGCAGCAGUUCCAAGCGCGGCUCAGCGCCGGGGAAGCAGAGGAGGCUGUGAGCGCCUCCACCACGCUGCGGCACAAGCAGCAAGAAGAGGAGCGCCAGCGCGUACUAGGACCCUUGGCCUUCGCCCCGUCCGCGACGAGACGCGUAGCACACGGUCAAGGAGACGCCGUUGGCGAUGGUAUCACCACCGGCGGCACCGGCGCGACAGGGGCGGCGACCGCCUCCCCAGACCUUUAUGGUGCGCUGCCAACGCAGCAGGAGUUCUUUGCGCGGUUCGCGUCAGAUGGCUGACGGGUCAUCUCACUCUCUUGUCUCCUCAGCCCUCAUGCAGAGCCGUCGCCUGUGUGGGUGGGUGUGCGUUACUGAUCCGUCUGCCCUUUCGAUGCGUCGCCUACUUCUUUCUUUGGUAGUGGGGCGGGGGCCUCUCGCUGCGCCUCACGCCAUUCGUGUGGGAACGUGCCUUGGCGCACUGUUACCGCCUUUUGUGCGCGGACACG
rnacentral:misc_RNA from 1 species